GAGAGAGACAUGCGCGCAUAUCAAUAAGCGGAGGAAAAGAAACUAACAAGGAUUCCCCUAGUAACGGCGAGUGAAGCGGGAAGAGCUCAAAUUUGAAAUCUUAAAGGGUUUCCCUUUACGAAUUGUAGUUUAAAGAAGUGUUUUCUGUUGAGGUUUUGGUAAAAGUUCUUUGGAAUAGGACAUCAUAGAGGGUGAGAAUCCCGUAUUUGACCUUUACUUUCAACUUUGUGAUACACUUUCAAAGAGUCGGAUUGUUUGGGAAUGCAGUCCAAAAUGGGUGGUAAAUUUCAUCUAAAGCUAAAUAUUGGCGAGAGACCGAUAGCGAACAAGUACCGUGAGGGAAAGAUGAAAAGAACUUUGAAAAGAGAGUUAAACAGUACGUGAAAUUGUCAAAAGGGAAGCGUUUGACACCAGUGUUGUUUUUCUGAAAAUCAAUUAAAGAACUGUUUAUGCUAAGCUGUUUAGACUUUAUCAGCUAACUGUUUAGUUUUGAGCUUUUCUCUAAUGCACUUUUCAGUUAACAAGUCAACAUCAAUUUCUUUUGCUGUAAAAAAGCUUGAGGAAGGUGGCUUGAGAUUCGUCUUAAGUGUUUAUAGCCUCUUGCCUAUGCAGUCGGAGAGAUUGAGGUCUGCAGCGUAGAUCCUUCGGGGCUAAAUGCAUUUGUGCUAAGUUAUAGCAUUUUAUAGACAACUUGUUGACUAUGAUUUGUCUUGUAGCUUACUCGCUUAUGUUAUUUUACCUACGCUUAGGAUGUUGAGCGCAUGUCUCUCUCU
rnacentral:rRNA from 1 species